rnacentral:rRNA from 1 species
UCCUACGGGAGGCAGCAGUGGUGAAUAUUGCACAAUGGGCGCAAGCCUGAUGCAGCGACGCCGCGUGAGGGAUGACGGCCUUCGGGUUGUAAACCUCUUUCAGUAGGGAAGAAGCGAAAGUGACGGUACCUGCAGAAGAAGCGCCGGCUAACUACGUGCCAGCAGCCGCGGUAAUACGUAGGGCGCAAGCGUUAUCCGGAAUUAUUGGGCGUAAAGAGCUCGUAGGCGGUUUGUCGCGUCUGCCGUGAAAGUCCGGGGCUCAACUCCGGAUCUGCGGUGGGUACGGGCAGACUAGAGUGAUGUAGGGGAGACUGGAAUUCCUGGUGUAGCGGUGAAAUGCGCAGAUAUCAGGAGGAACACCGAUGGCGAAGGCAGGUCUCUGGGCAUUAACUGACGCUGAGGAGCGAAAGCAUGGGGAGCGAACAGGAUUAGAUACCCUGGUAGUCCAUGCCGUAAACGUUGGGCACUAGGUGUGGGGGACAUUCCACGUUUUCCGCGCCGUAGCUAACGCAUUAAGUGCCCCGCCUGGGGAGUACGGCCGCAAGGCUAAAACUCAAAGGAAUUGACGGGGGCCCGCACAAGCGGCGGAGCAUGCGGAUUAAUUCGAUGCAACGCGAAGAACCUUACCAAGGCUUGACAUGGACUGGAAAUACCUGGAAACAGGUGCCCCGCUUGCGGUCGGUUCACAGGUGGUGCAUGGUUGUCGUCAGCUCGUGUCGUGAGAUGUUGGGUUAAGUCCCGCAACGAGCGCAACCCUCGUUCUAUGUUGCCAGCGCGUAAUGGCGGGGACUCAUAGGAGACUGCCGGGGUCAACUCGGAGGAAGGUGGGGACGACGUCAAAUCAUCAUGCCCCUUAUGUCUUGGGCUUCACGCAUGCUACAAUGGCCGGUACAAAGGGUUGCGAUACUGUGAGGUGGAGCUAAUCCCAAAAAGCCGGUCUCAGUUCGGAUUGGGGUCUGCAACUCUACCCCAUGAAGUCGGAGUCGCUAGUAAUCGCAGAUCAGCACCGCUGCGGUGAAUACGUUCCCGGGCCUUGUACACACCG